GAAUGUGAGGGCGAUCUGGCUGCAACAUCUGUCACCUCACUGAUGGCCAGUGUUGAUUCACCUGAUCUGGCUGGCUUAGAGGCUGUCCCCUUCCUCUCUCACAGCUCCAUGUGCGUCCCUCCCGAAGACACGCACUUGGUCGAAGAGGGGACCUUCCCCGAUAGAGAUGUACCAUUCAUCGGUCAAGGACACAGGGUAACUGCACUUCCCUGCUUAACAGGAGCCAGCAGUGUGCCCAGGUGGCCAAGAAGGCCAACAGCACACAGGAAUAGUGUACCCAGCAGGAGUACAUAAGUGAUCACGCCUCUAUACUCAACACUGGUGAGGCCUCACCUCGAGUACUGCAUCCAG
rnacentral:snRNA from 1 species